rnacentral:rRNA from 1 species
CCUACGUGUGGCAGCAGUGGGGAAUAUUGCGCAAUGGGCGAAAGCCUGACGCAGCGACGCCGCGUGAGGGAUGAAGGUGUUCGGAUCGUAAACCUCUGUCAGCAGGGAAGAACGGUCACUGUGCUAAUCAGCAGUGAAUUGACGGUACCUGCAAAGGAAGCACCGGCUAACUCCGUGCCAGCAGCCGCGGUAAUACGGAGGGUGCGAGCGUGAAUCGGAAUUCCGGGGCGUAAAGCGCUCGUAGGCGGUAUGUCAAGUCAAGGGUGAAAUCCCCGCGCUCAACGUGGGAACUGCCUUUGAAACUGGCAAACUGGAGUGUGUGAGAGGAUAGUGGAAUUCCAGGUGUAGGAGUGAAAUCCGUAGAUAUCUGGAGGAACAUCAGUGGCGAAGGCGACUAUCUGGCACAUAACUGACGCUGAGGAGCGAAAGCGUGGGUAGCAAACAGGAUUAGAUACCCCAGUAGAC